AGCGUUAUUCGGAAUUAUUGGGCGUAAAGGGCGUGUAGGCGGCUUGGCAAGUGGUAGGUGAAAUCCCUCGGCUUAACCGAGGAACUGCCCUCCAAACUGCUUCGCUUGAGACCGGGAGAGGUGAGUGGAAUUCCCAGUGUAGCGGUGAAAUGCGUAGAUAUUGGGAGGAACACCAGUGGCGAAGGCGGCUCACUGGACCGGUACUGACGCUGAUGCGCGAAAGCGUGGGGAGCAAACGGG
rnacentral:rRNA from 1 species